UACGUAGGGAGCGAGCGUUAUCCGGAUUUAUUGGGCGUAAAGGGUGCGUAGGCGGGUUGUUAAGUUCAUGGUGAAAAUGCGAGGCUCAACCUCGUAUGGCUAUGGAUACUGGCAACCUAGAGUAUGGUAGAGGUGAAUGGAACUCCAUGUGUAGCGGUAAAAUGCGUAAAUAUAUGGAAGAACACCAGUGGCGAAGGCGGUUCACUAGGCCAAGACUGACGCUGAGGCACGAAAGCGUGGGGAGCAAACA
rnacentral:rRNA from 1 species